UACGAAGGGGGCUAGCGUUGCUCGGAAUCACUGGGCGUAAAGGGUGCGUAGGCGGCUACUCAAGUCAGAGGUGAAAGCCCAGGGCUCAACCCUGGAACUGCCUUUGAAACUAGGUAGCUAGAAUCUUGGAGAGGUCAGUGGAAUUCCGAGUGUAGAGGUGAAAUUCGUAGAUAUUCGGAAGAACACCAGUGGCGAAGGCGACUGACUGGACAAGUAUUGACGCUGAGGUGCGAAAGCGUGGGGAGCAAACAGG
rnacentral:rRNA from 1 species